UAUUCCCCACUGCUGCCUCCCGUAGGAGUCUGGACCGUGUCUCAGUUCCAGUGUGGGGGACCAACCUCUCAGUUCCCCUAGACAUCGCGGUCUUGGUGGGCCGUUACCCCGCCAACUAACUAAUGUCUCGCGAGCUCAUCCGUAUCCACCGAAGCUUUCAACUCGUGAAGAUGCCUCCACAAGUGUUAUGCGGUAUUAGACGACGUUUCCAUCGCUUAUCCCCCUAAUACGGGCAGAUUGCUCACGCGUUACGCACCCUUGCGCCGGUCGCCGCCAAGGUAUUGCUACCUCGCGCUGCCCCUCGACUUGCAUGUGUUAAGCCUGCCGCCAGCGUUCAUCCUGAGCCAA
rnacentral:rRNA from 1 species